rnacentral:rRNA from 1 species
GACGAACCGUGCAACCGUUGUUCGGAAUCACUGGGCUUAAAGGGCGCGUAGGCGGGCCAGCCAGUCUGUGGUGAAAGCCUCCAGCUUAACUGGAGAAGUGCCGUGGAUACUGCUGGCCUCGAGGAGGGUAGGGGCAUCUGGAACGGUCGGUGGAGCGGUGAAAUGCGUUGAUAUCGACCGGAACUCCGGUGGCGAAGGCGAGGUGCUGGGCCCUUUCUGACGCUGAGUGCGCGAAAGCCAGGGGAGCAAACGGG